UUUCGCAAUGCCCGAAAGGGUGACGAAGCGACGCCGCGUGGGUGAGGAAGGCCUUCGGGUUGUAAAGCCCUGUCAGGAGUUAAGAAAUGUAGAUUCGCUAAUAUCGGGUCUAUUUGACAAAGGCUCCAAAGGAAGCCACGGCUAACUCUGUGCCAGCAGCCGCGGUAAUACAGAGGUGGCAAGCGUUGUUCGGAAUUAUUGGGCGUAAAGAGCACGUAGGUGGAUUUGUAAGUCAGAUGUGAAAGCCUUCUGUUCAACGGGAGAAUUGCAUCUGAAACUACAGACCUUGAGUGUAGGAGGGGAGAAUGGAACUUCUGGUGGAGCGGUGAAAUGCGUAGAUAUCAGAAGGAACGCCGGCGGCGAAAGCGAUUCUCUGGCCUAUUACUGACACUCAGUGUGCGAAAGCUAGGGGAGCAAACGGGAUUAGAUACCCCGGUAGUCCUAGCCGUAAACGAUGGGCACUAAGUAGAGGGGUUUUA
rnacentral:rRNA from 1 species